GGGCGUACAAGGGCCAUCUGACUCCUCAAGGGCUAAGUCCCUCUGUCGAUUUGACAUGUUUGCCUCUCCCCCAAACAAGAAGCUCUCAGGGUUAUUCUGUAAGGCAGUCAGCCCGCGCAUUGCCUAGUUUUAAUGGAAUUAAUAGCGAUGCAUUUCUAGAGGCGGAAAAAGGAGAAGGACUGACCCCGAGCACAGUCUUGUGGCUGUAAGCCUUUCUGGUACAUUCUCCAGCCCCUUCAGUUUUCCUGGACCCGAGCCUCAGCCCAGUAAUCCCCUGCAAGGCUCUCACCCACGGCCAAUUGCUGGGCUCUCACACCACACCCUUCAGCGAGGGCUCCGGCCGGGACCUAGACCAAGUUCAGCUGGUAAUUGCGCUACAAAUUGCUCGAUUGCCUUCAACCUUGCUCUUCGGUAUCUCUUUGUCAAGCUGCGCUGCCAUACGGGUCAGAUCACAGAACUUCCAUUCACCUCCAGCAAUCAAUACGGUGCCAUCCCCGCUAGGAUGGAAAGGCCUCGGCUGGAACAUGGAAAAUUCAGGAACUCUUGGUCAUCCUUUUCUGUCCUGUGGAUAUAUGUGCGGAGACCUCUACUGCAGCCAGAGAAGCAUGACUCAGUACUGUGGGGAGAAGGCACAAAACCAUGAAGGGCCUCCCAUGCGCCCUACCCGCAGAUCCAGUCCGGGCUCCAGUCCAUAGGCCUGGCGGCCUCUAUGCUCUCGGCUACCAUGAAACAGCCUAAUGACCUUCCACUAACCCCUUUUCCCCACUGACCUCCCCCCCAUGUCUUCGCUCUUCCUUUUAAGCU
rnacentral:lncRNA from 1 species